UGCUUGAUUGAGAAUCAAGAUUUUAGUAUCUGCAUUGGAGUAGCAAAGUGUCUGAAGUAUCUACACCAGGAGAGGACGUUCUGCAAUUUGAGAAAUUAGUUCCAGAGAAUUGGCAGCCAAGAAUGUACAUGGCUGUAGCCCGAAUGAUCAAGGGAUCAGUUCCAGAGAUCUCCUACAAAAAAAAUAACGAGGCGCUGCUGUGAAAUAUAGUUUCUCAAUUUACUAGAUCCUCAGGAUGAUAUUUCAAUGCUUCAUGCUGGAUUCCUGAAUAAAGAUGCUAAUGGGGUUUAAAAUACAGUGAUAACUAUCUGAUUGAUCUACCGUUUCAAACUUUUUGAAGGGCAGAGUAAGUCUGGAACAGCAUUUGCUUCAGCUUCAAUAGUUCUAAACACGAUCUACCUCGUCUUCAGCAGCAGGAACAGGUUCAAUAUGAUGUGAGGCGUGAAACUUGCUAGAAAUGCUAUACACUGGAGUUCUGAAACCAAAUUACUAACGAAAGCACAUUUAAGGACUCAACAAGGAGAUAACAAUUCAACAAGAGUACACAAAUCUGGACAUGCCAAGUGUGGCU
rnacentral:lncRNA from 1 species